rfam:Planctomycetes bacterium GWF2_40_8 gwf2_scaffold_10182, whole genome shotgun sequence.
GGGCAGAUAGCUCAGUCGGUAGAGCACGGGACUGAAAAUCCCGGUGUCGCCGGUUCGAUCCCGGCUCUGCCCA